ensembl:lncRNA
UGGACGCCAGGCAGCGGCCGGGGAAGGAGCGAGGGGAGGGGAGGGGAGGAGCAGCAGGCUCGGGGACAGCGUCCCAUCCCAGAAGCGAGGGGGGCGGCACCGGGACAAAGUCCCGAGGCUGGAGCGCGGGAAGGAAUCAGGGCGGCGUCCGAAGCUAGCGGCGGGAGGCCCGAGGGGGCGCAGAAGCAGGAGGCGGGGUGCUGAAGCCGGAGAGGGGGGCGGAGGCUCCGGGUGGGACCGGGCUGGAGGGGGGGCACUAAGCAGGAGAGGGGCGCGGGGCGGCGGGGAGGGCGGGCACCCACCGUCGGAAGAGGCUCUCCAUGUCCUUGAUCUGGCGGCGGCUGAACUCGCGAAACUCGGUGUAGGGCUUGAAGACCUUGAUGGGCCGGGGCCGCGCCGUUCCCUCGUGGAUGCCCUGACGCCGGUUCAGCUGCUCCUUGAGCUCGGAGCCCGCGUUGGCCGUGAGCUCCUUGGCGGGCGGCUCGUCUCCCGGGCUCGGGGAACCGCAGGGCCAGGCCGGCGCGGGCACCCCGUCGAAGCCGUUUUGCUGCGGGAUCGGGACGUCCUCGGCCUCCUGCUCCAGCCUCAGCCUCCGCUGCAGCUUCAGGGCGAGCUCGUAGCUGGCCAUGGCCCGAGGACACACAGUCCCCACGGACGGGGCCGGCUCCCUCGCCAGCCCGCUCGUCCACCCGCCCGAUCGCUGCUUCCCGGGAGCGGCUUGGAACUUCUCUGGGCGGCUGGGCUCCCGAGCCGGGACCCGCCAGCUGGACUUCACCUGGAACCGAGGCAGGCGGUCUAGGACGUUCCCCAUUUUACAGAUGAGAAAACUGAGGCCCUGAGCCGUUCACUGAUUUGCCUCGGGCAUUCUUGGGGCCUCCCCUCCUUUCUGCGUCCGGGAAGGGGAUCUUCACCCGCAGCCUAAGAGCGUCUGGGGCCUUUCACCAGCUGAGGCGAAGGACCUCCCAUUCUCCAGCAGCUUCCCAUUCCUCCCCCUCACAUUCUGCAUUCCAGCCAGCCCGGCCUCUCGGCUGCCGCUACCCUCGAAGCCCGGCUUCCUCCGACUCUCGGCCCAAGUCCCGGCUCCUACCAGAAGCCAUUCCCGUCCCGAGCUCCCCCCGCCCGGUAAUGGCAGGGCCGGCCUCCGAGGGAUUCCCUCCACAUCCAUCGUGGGGGCUCCUGUCCGCCUGGCAUCCCGUUUCUGCCUUUCCAUCCCCUGCACUUAGCACAAUGCCUGCCCACAGGAGGCGCAACAGCCACUAGUGGCUCCUCCUCACUCCCCCAGCGGCGUGUUACCCCCUCGAGGGCCAGAGCUCGUCCGGCCCCCUUGCAAGGGCGCAGUGCCUGGCAUACAGCUGGCACUUCAAUGGUUCUGGAAUCCAGUGGAAAAUCCGAGAAUUGGAAAAGGGACCCAAAGCGAUCAAAUGGGGGUAGCUUUAGACUGGGUUGGCCAGAAGACCUGAGUUCAAUUCAGCCUUAGAUAUUUAUGACUGUAUGACUCUGAGCAAGUCAUUGCCGCAUCUCAGAAUCUCAGUUUCUUCCUCGGUAAAAUGGGGUUACCAAAGAAGAGGCCCUACCGGAAUAGAUGUGAUGGCCUAAAGAGAUAAUAGCAGUAAGUUCUUGGCCACCCUUGAUAUGCUAAAUAAAUGCUAGCUUUCCUCUCUUUCCCUCCCA